CCAGCAACUUGGAGGAAUGGAUAGCAAUAGCUGAUUGCAGCAACAAACAGUUGCUGCAAUAUCGACGAUGUCGAAUAAAAUUCUAGGUAGAAUUAUGAUAAUGACAUUGUCUACCUAUGUGUCUUGACCAAAUUACGUGCCAGCAGUCGCGGUAAUACGUAGAAGACUAGUGUUAUUCAUCUUUAAUUGGUUUAAAGGGUACCUAGACGGCAAAUCAAGCCUUAAUUUUUAGGAGGGACUAAUUAGCUAGAGUUACUUAUGAGGGGGUUUUAAAGUACUGCUGGAGUAGAGAUGAAAUUCCGUCAUACCUCAGUUUCGUAAAAGAAGCAAGAUGGCACAGGUAUAGGUGAAAGCAUCCCCUUAUGUGAUAACUGACGUUGAAGGACGAAGGCUUUCUGUAGCGAACAGGAUUAGAUACCCCAGUAGUCGGAGCAGAAAAUGAUGAAUGUCAUAGGUUAGAUAUUAUUUAUCCUAUAAAUGAAAGUGUAAGCAUUCCACCUCAAGAGUAAUUUGGCAACAUUGGAACUGAAAUCAUUAGACCGUUUCUGAAACCAGUAGUGAAGUAUGUUGUUUAAUUAGACGAUACGCAAAAAACCUUACCACAAUCUGUAUAUUUAUAUCUCUUCUUUUCUCUUUUUUUAUCUUUUUUUCUUUUUUUUUUCUUUUAUAUCUUCUUCUUUUGCUAACGAAGUUAUGCAAAGGAAGAUAUAAUAAUAUAAAAGAAAAAAAAGAAAAAAAGAUAAAAAAUAAGAGAAGAAAAUGUAUUUACAAGCGUUGCACGGCUGUCUUCAGUUAAUGUCGUGAGACUAUGGUUAGUUCCAUUAAAUUAACGUAAACCCUUACUUUAUUUUUAUAUAGAGUUGUUCCCCGCUAGAUUGGAUAUGAUAACAGGACUA
rnacentral:rRNA from 1 species